CCUACGGGAGGCAGCAGUGAGGAAUCUUCCACAAUGGGCGAAAGCCUGAUGGAGCAACGCCGCGUGAAGGAUGAAGGCCUUCGGGUUGUAAACUUCUUUUAUGAGUGAAGAAUAUGACGGUAACUCAUGAAUAAGCACCGGCUAACUACGUGCCAGCAGCCGCGGUCAUACGUAGGGUGCAAGCAUUAUCCGGAGUGACUGGGCGUAAAGAGUUGCGUAGGCGGUUUAAUAAGUGAAUAGUGAAACCUGGUGGCUCAACCAUACAGACUAUUAUUCAAACUGUUAAACUCGAGAAUGGUAGAGGUAACUGGAAUUUCUAGUGUAGGAGUGAAAUCCGUAGAUAUUAGAAGGAACACCGAUGGCGUAGGCAGGUUACUGGGCCAUUUCUGACGCUAAGGCACGAAAGCGUGGGGAGCGAACCGGAUUAGAUACCCCAGUAGUC
rnacentral:rRNA from 1 species